ensembl:lncRNA
CCAGAUGGGGACCUCAGGUCGGCUCUCCGCCCCCACCUCCUUCCAUUCACGGCUCUUGGAAGAACAGAACUCCACCCUGUGAUCACUGCCCUCCUCCAGCCACCCCUGGGUGCCAGCCUGACACUCAAGGCUCACAGGCAGUCUUCCCGGCCGAACCCCAGUCCAUGCUGCCACCGCCCGGCCGCCGCCGAGUACGCGAGAGGGAGGGUCCCACCCCUGCCCAAGCCCUUGCCCUAGGCCCUGCCACUCAAAUAUGCCAGUCUGGGCGGACUUUGGAGCAUCUUCCGAGACACAGCAACAGCAGGAAGGACUGGGGUUAGACAUUCUGAGCUCCUUCCCAGCUACAAGGAGGAGGAGAUCUGAGGAGCUGAGCAGGAGGCCAAGGAAGAGGUGUGUGAGCACAUGAGUCCAAGCCUGAGAUCCUCAGGCGGGCUCUGCAUCGCGCUGGGAGAGGCAUCAUUCAUCUGCCCAGGGGUGGAGAUGGGGCAGGGGGAGAGGAAUGAAAAACACCCACAGCCCAUUAACCUACUUUUGCAACUUCAUUAAAACAGAGUCUCCGACGUGUCGCCAUAAAUUGUCUUCGGAGGAAGAAGCCAGAUCCAACACCCAGCUCUAGCCGUGAAGCCUCUGAGAAGAGGCUAGAAUAACCAGCUGUUCGCUGUGAGCCUCCCACCAGCCCGGAAAAGGAUGAUCUCAUUCGCCUUCUAAGAAGUCUUCCAAACCUUGGCCUCCACAUUUCUGACUUGUGCACAAGUGUCCCUUGUCCCUGCCUGCCAGGAAGUUCUCCUCCAUGUUUAACCUGAACCUUGCCUUGGUGGGGUGGACUUGGGGAAAGGUCGUUUAUCCAAAGUCCUAUCCCAGUCACGAUGUUACAGCGGUGAUGUGCUUUUGUUCCCUCUGUCAGCCUUCCAGAAACCCCCCACCACACCACACUCCCAGCCAGUGCCCCCUCACGUCCUUCACCCCAGAAUGGCUCAGGGGACGCCUGCCUCCAGGCCUGGCUCUGGCUCAGAUGUCAGCCCAGCCCCAGUGGAGCAAGCAAGUGGGGAGCCAUCAGCCCUGCCCAGCCCUGCCCCCAGCCCAGGCUCGAGAAGGAGGGCAUAAGUGUGAAGGAGCGUGUGCUGGCAGCCAUGUGCAGGCGCCUCGCGUGGGUACAGCCUGGGACGUGUCUUGCAUAUUUGCACUGACCUGGGUACGUUACCGCAUGCUGCAGUGCCCUUGGGCAGAGAUGGGCGGUUUGACCUUGACCUUGUCCCUGUGCAUGUGUACAGGCUCCUGUCCACUUGUGUCCACAAGUACCCGGGCCCCUCCAAGUACACUGUCGCAACGGGCUUUUACCUUGCCAAUUUCUGACCCAGAGAGGGGAGCCCUCCCGCAGUUUGCCUGUGCCUGGGAUCCCUCAGUACAUCCCCCAGCUGAGUGGGCAGAGACCCUCAUGCCCGCCCCCAGAGCUACAGGUCAGGGUGGCAGCUGGUGGGAGAGAAGAAAGGGAAAGAGAGGAGGGGCAGCCUCCCCAACACCUGUG